CCGCCCUUAGCUCAAUGGUAGAGCACCGAGCUUAUACCUCGGCGGUUCUUGGUUCGAGUCCAAGAGGGCGGA
rnacentral:tRNA from 1 species